AUGGAAUUGACAACAAAAUAAAUAUGAUGUUAACUUUGGUUUGGGAGACAUGUGGAAUUGGACCAUCAUAUCACAUAUCUUGGGUGGUGAGUAACUGAUCAUAUUCACUAGCACUUCAGUUUGUUUCUUGCAAAUUAAACUUGAGACAUCGUUUCCUGAUAUGUUCUAAGAAAACAUAUUAACUCGAUUCACUCAGUCUAAUUUCAUUUAUUUAUUUUUUGGGGGCAUGUAGUCCUCUGGAUGAGCGUAAUGCCCUUGCACCCUCAUACUUGGGGACACAUCCUGGAUCAUCAACAACGGUACAUGCUAUCAGUGAGUUCCAAGCUGUAGCGGCUAUUACUGAACAUGCAUGCAUUCUGGGUCCUGGAUAUGACAUCCCCAUUGCAGGCACAAUUGUACCUUAGUAUACUAACUUAUAAUGGAUCUCUGUUUUCCCAUGAAAAAGGCCUGUUUUGUCCAUAGAGUAUUAAGAGUUAUA
rnacentral:lncRNA from 1 species